rnacentral:rRNA from 1 species
GAUCAUAGUAUUGGAAACCCUCCAUUGCUGUCGGGGACAUACGGAUCGGUGCUCCGCCCUGCGCGGGCACGUUAAAGCGCGUUACGACGCAUCUGCCUAUAUCGAAACCGAUGAGGAUCACAACCGGUAGCAUUGGAUCCCUCGGCACGUCAAUCGAUGAAGACCGUAGCAAAUUGCGAUAAGUGAUGUGAUAUGCAAGUCCAAAGCUUAUACGUGAAUCAUCGAGUUGUUGAACGCACUGCACCGAGCCUUGCAAAGGCAUGGUAUAUCCCAUUGAGCGUCAUUAGAUUCUUCGCGAGCACCUUUGGGUGCCCGGGUUCGGGGUCCACGGUCCCUUGGGAUCGCGUUCCUUCAGAUCGAUCGCCGCAUGGGCCGACCGUGGCGAGCGCCUCCUAAUGCAUUUGGAGCGCGCCGCCUUGAGGUUUUCGUGCAGGACCGCGCCUCGGCGUGCGUCAAGCCCGGCGUCCGCGCCACCUCGAUCAUGACCUCAAGGGGAUAAGACGACCCGCUAGACUUAAGCAUAUUAAUCAGCGGAGGAAAAGAAACUAACUAGGAUUCCCUCAGUAACUGCGAGUGAACCGGGAUGAGCUCAAUGUGUGAAUCGGGCAGGGUUUAGAGCCUCGUUCGAGUUGUGCACUAUAGACGCUGCUUCUGCGCAUGGAUUGUACGGGCGGAUGUCCGAUGAAACACGGCAUUACAGAGGGUCAUAAUCCCGUCCCUGCCUAUGGUACUUGAUCCGCGCUAAUGAUCGGCGUUCUGCGAGUCGUGUAGUUUUGUAUUGCUGCACCAAUUGGGAGGUAGAGCCCUUCUAAAGCUAAAUAUGAUGACGUGACCGAUAGUUCACAAGUACCGUGAGGGAAAGGUGAAAAGCAACCAUGCAGAAUGGGUUGAAAGAGCAGUGAAAGUGCUACCGGGAUAAGGGCUGUCGAUGACUGGGGCCGAGGGUGCGUGCUUUAGUGCUGCGCCAGCGGACGGCAUGCGUUGAUCGGGAUUGGGGAGACGUGCGCGGUGGAGAUUCGGCCUGUGAUGGGUGUUGCAAUCCGCCUGCGAUGGGAGCCCU